rnacentral:rRNA from 1 species
UACGUAGGGUGCGAGCGUUAAUCGGAAUUACUGGGCGUAAAGCGUGCGCAGGCGGUGAUGUAAGACAGAUGUGAAAUCCCCGGGCUCAACCUGGGAACUGCAUUUGUGACUGCAUCGCUGGAGUGCGGCAGAGGGGGAUGGAAUUCCGCGUGUAGCAGUGAAAUGCGUAGAGAUGUGGAGGAAUACCGAUGGCGAAGGCAGCCCCCUGGGAUAACACUGACGCUCAUGCACGAAAGCGUGGGGAGCAAACAGG